CCCACCGUGGAGGACACAACAGACCCAGGGAGGUGGAGACAAGCGCCCUGAGGGCCUCGUCUGUGCGGCUGCCGUGCCCGAGACUGAGCUCCGUGGGGACUGAAAGAUGUCGAAACAUUCCCUUCUGCCCCUAAAUAACCUUCGGUCUCCUGAGGGAGGUGCCUUGGGCAUCAAUACCUGGAAUGAAAGCAGAGGGAGUGACGCGGCCACCCCGAGGCCACGCUGCGAGGCAGGACAACUGCUGCUGGGCUCACAGACAAACCGGCUUGUCCAAUGGAAUUUAUGGAAACUCAUCAGGACGGACCUUCUGGAUUCCUGAAAUACUCACACCCCGCCCGUUCUUCCCCAAGUGGCCUCAAAUCAGCACCAGAUUGCAAAGGAGGAGGGCUUAUCAGCAACACUCAUGAGUCAGCCGGCCGCUGGAUACCCAGUAAUUACCUAACAACAGCAG